UACGUAGGUGGCAAGCGUUGUCCGGAUUUACUGGGCGUAAAGAGCGCGCAGGCGGUCGUUUAAGUCGAAUGUGAAAGCCCCCGGCUCAACUGGGGAGGGUCAUUCGAUACUGAUCGACUUGAAGGCAGGAGAGAGAAGUGGAAUUCCCGGUGUAGUGGUGAAAUGCGUAGAUAUCGGGAGGAACACCUAGUGGCGAAGGCAGCUCGCUGGGACGUUACUGACGCUGAGACGCGAAAGCGUGGGGAGCAAACAGG
rnacentral:rRNA from 1 species